CCUGCAUCGGGGGAGCGGGCCCAUUUGCUCCCAUCUUCCCCGCGGCUUGUCCUAGGGGCGGUCUCUGUUGCCCUGGGUUACGGGACACGUGUAUCCUAGUCGGCCUGACCCCGGGAGGCGGGCGUGGUACGUUGGGGGUGGUGGCAGCAGCGGCAGGUUUUCCCAUGGAGCCGGUCCAUUUGCUCCCAUUUCCCCCCAUGGUUUGCCCUGAGGGCUGUCUCUGUUGUCCCAAGUUCGCCGGACGUCCAUCUCCAGGUCAGCCUGCUCCCUAGAGGAGGCCACCGUGAGGUCAGGGGGCAAGAGAGGUGGCUGCUUCAGGGAAGCCGGAUGCCCGUCUCCAGGUGACAUUUUAGGUUAUUGGGUCACAGAUUGCUGGCACACUCAUCCCUGUUCUCAAAUAUCUUUUAAACUUGGGUGAAGUGAUAAGUAGGGGAAGAUGAUUUACUGAAAGCAAUGCAGAGUCUCCCGAGAACAGAUUCAGACUGAACAGAUUUGUGUCAGACUUUGGGAGACCGCUGGUGCCCCAGAUGUUCUCUGGCAGGUCAAUGACGAAUCUAGGUCCAUCUUUCACUGCUACGUCAAUGAAGUGGGCCACUUCGACAAGGCCAAAGCUAGUAUCCCCACCAUAGCCCUUGACAGUGAUGUUCGGCUCCAGGAAGCCAUCAGAUGCAGCGGACGGCCAGAGGAGGAGCCGAACUUGCCCAUGAAAUGUGACAUCCCCAACUUCAUCAACACGGACCAGAACUCUUCCUUUGGGGAAGAUGAUCUGAUUUUCGAACCACCGAAUGUUCUAGAAAAUAAGCCAGUUGCCCAGACCCCACACAAAGACUUGAGUUGAGAAACGUGCUUUGUCAGGUGUCUUUUUGAAGAUAUGAAUUUUGUCUUUGUAUGGCAGGAAGUCCCGUUUCACAAAAUUGUAUGUGUUUUUCUCUGAGAGAGAGAAAUGGAGACAGACAGAAAGACGAAGAAGCAGAAGAGAGCGCCCUCAGAAGAGAGCUAGUUAAGCUCUUCUGAGAUCCUCCGGCCACCCUUGCUCCAACCUGAGGACAGACCUACCGUUCCUUUCCUAGGAGGAGGAUCAAUCCAUGGUGCAUUUUAUGACAAUCCUGUCCCCAGGAAUGCACGGAAGGUUAUCAGCUGAGUGAGGGGAAGUGCCUCUGUGUCUCUGUGUCCCUGUAUCUCUGUCUGCUCACAGUGCCCUGCCACCGGCUACUGAACAAGAAAAGUGCUAUUCACCAUGCUGUGUCUUUUGCAGAUGUGUAGGUGAUGGUCUUGUGGCUCAUGUGUGGGCUUUGUGCUGGGAUGGUGAAGGGCUUAUAAAUACCUCAUCAACAUGUAUUCGAGAUGGCCUGGUGCCACACAGACUUGAUUCAUGAAGGCAUCAAGCCUGCACACUGGUUUGGAAACAACUUGGUUUUGAUCAGUCACACUGCAUGCAUGACUCACUGCUGAUCUCUGGGUGUUUUUUUCAUUUUAGAUUUAUUCACCCAGUGUCUUGCUUAAGCUGAAAAAUACAUUUAUUUCACUAGAAUAUUCUCGGAUUCUUUGUUUCACACAUCCAGUUGUUUAAUUCUUUAAAAAUCAUUUUGUGUUUAUAAUGCCUCCUAAUUUCU